GAUGAACGCUGGCGGCGUGCCUAAUACAUGCAAGUCGAGCGAACAGACGAGGAGCUUGCUCCUCUGAUGUUAGCGGCGGACGGGUGAGUAACACGUGGAUAACCUACCUAUAAGACUGGGAUAACUUCGGGAAACCGGAGCUAAUACCGGAUAACAUGUUGAACCGCAUGGUUCAACAGUGAAAGACGGUCUUGCUGUCACUUAUAGAUGGAUCCGCGCCGCAUUAGCUAGUUGGUAAGGUAACGGCUUACCAAGGCAACGAUGCGUAACCGACCUGAGAGGGUGAUCGGCCACACUGGAACUGAGACACGGUCCAGACUCCUACGGGAGGCAGCAGUAGGGAAUCUUCCGCAAUGGGCGAAAGCCUGACGGAGCAACGCCGCGUGAGUGAAGAAGGUCUUCGGAUCGUAAAACUCUGUUAUUAGGGAAGAACAAAUGUGUAAGUAACUAUGCACGUCUUGACGGUACCUAAUCAGAAAGCCACGGCUAACUACGU
rnacentral:rRNA from 1 species